UAAUACGGAGGGUGCAAGCGCUAAUCGGAAUUACUGGGCGUAAAGCGCACGCAGGCGGUCUGUCAAGUCGGAUGUGAAAUCCCCGGGCUCAACCUGGGAACUGCAUCCGAAACUGGCAGGCUUGAGUCUUGUAGAGGGGGGUAGAAUUCCAGGUGUAGCGGUGAAAUGCGUAGAGAUCUGGAGGAAUACCGGUGGCGAAGGCGGCCCCCUGGACAAAGACUGACGCUCAGGUGCGAAAGCGUGGGGAGCAAACAGGAUUAGAUACCCUGGUAGUCCACGCCGUAAACGAUGUCGACUUGGAGGUUGUGCCCUUGAGGCGUGGCUUCCGGAGCUAACGCGUUAAGUCGACCGCCUGGGGAGUACGGCCGCAAGGUUAAAACUCAAAUGAAUUGACGGGGGCCCGCACAAGCGGUGGAGCAUGUGGUUUAAUUCGAUGCAACGUGAAGAACCUUACCUGGUCUUGACAUCCACAGAAUUCUGCAGAGAUGCGGAAGUGCCUUCGGGAACUGUGAGACAGGUGCUGCAUGGCUGUCGUCAGCUCGUGUUGUGAAAUGUUGGGUCAAGUCCCGCAACGAGCGCAACCCUUAUCCUUUGUUGCCAGCGGUCCGGCCGGGAACUCAAAGGAGACUGCCAGUGAUAAACUGGAGGAAGGUGGGGAUGACGUCAAGCCAUCAUGGCCCUUACGACCAGGGCUACACACGUGCUACAAUGGCGCAUACAAAGAGAAGCGACCCCGCGAGGGCAAGCGGACCUCAUAAAGUGCGUCGUAGUCCGGAUUGGAGUCUGCAACUCGACUCCAUGAAGUCGGAAUCGCUAGUAAUCGUGGAUCAGAAUGCCACGGUGAAUACGUUCCCGGGCCUUGUACACACCGCCCGUC
rnacentral:rRNA from 1 species